UACGUAGGGUGCAAGCGUUAAUCGGAAUUACUGGGCGUAAAGCGUGCGCAGGCGGUUUUGUAAGUCAGAUGUGAAAUCCCCGGGCUUAACCUGGGAACUGCGUUUGAAACUACAAGGCUAGAGUGUAGCAGAGGGGGGUGGAAUUCCACGUGUAGCAGUGAAAUGCGUAGAGAUGCGGAGGAACACCGAUGGCGAAGGCAGCCCCCUGGGCCAAUACUGACGCUCAGGCACGAAAGCGUGGGGAGCAAACAGG
rnacentral:rRNA from 1 species